rnacentral:rRNA from 1 species
UCCGUAGGUGAACCUGCGGAAGGAUCAUUAUCGUUAAACCGAGGCGCGACGGCUGUCGCUGACCUUCCCCGGUCGUGCACGCCCGAGCCCCUCUCACAAUCCAUCUCACCCUUUGUGCAUCACCGCGUGGGUCCUCCUUUGCCGGAGGGUCCGCGUCUUUACACAAAACUCGAUACAGUGUAGAAUGUUUAUUUUCGCGCUCGCACGCGAUCAAUAAUACAACUUUCAACAACGGAUCUCUUGGCUCUCGCAUCGAUGAAGAACGCAGCGAAAUGCGAUACGUAAUGUGAAUUGCAGAAUUCAGUGAAUCAUCGAAUCUUUGAACGCACCUUGCGCCCCUUGGCAUUCCGAGGGGCACACCCGUUUGAGUGUCGUGAAAUCUUCAAAAACCCUCUCUUUUGAGGAUUUUUGGACUUGGAGGUUCAAUGCUCGCUUUCGCCUUUUAGAAAGCGAGCUCCUCUCAAAUGAAUCAGUGGGGUCUGCUUUGCCGGUCCUUGACGUGAUAAGAUCUUUCUACGUUUUGGAUUCGACAUCGUCCCGCUCCCAAUCGUCCCACGGACAAAAGGAUGGUGCUCCGGUCGCGGUCGGACCCACCAAAAAAACCUUGACCUCAAAUCGGGUGAGACUACCCGCUGAACUUAAGCAUAUCAAUAAGCGGAGGAAAAGAAACUAACAAGGAUUCCCCUAGUAACUGCGAGUGAAGCGGGAAAAGCUCAAAUUUAAAAUCUGGUGGUCUUUGG